GACGUAGGGCGCGAGCGUUGUCCGGAUUUAUUGGGCGUAAAGAGCUCGUAGGCGGCUUGUCGCGUCGUCCGUGAAAACUUGGGGCUCAACCCCAAGCUUGCGGUCGAUACGGGCAGGCUAGAGUUCGGUAGGGGAGACUGGAAUUCCUGGUGUAGCGGUGAAAUGCGUAGAUAUCAGGAGGAACACCUGCGGUGUAGACGGCUUACUGGACCAUCACUGACGCUGAGGCACGAAAGCGUGGGUAGCGAACAGG
rnacentral:rRNA from 1 species